CUUACCAAUAUCUAUAAUCCUCUCCUAUGUAAUAAAAACUCGAUAAAAAAUAAAAAUAAAAACGUUGAGCUAUUUUUCUCUGUAUAUUUAGAGCGAUAAGCGAUUUGACCCAUUUAUUUUAUUAUUACCCACAAAAUAAGACUAGCAUGGCCCUAUUGUUUUUUUAUAUGAUAUUUUUAUUCCCGCCACAACAACAAAAAAUAGUAAACAUCAGAGUAAACGUCAGAGCAACAAGGUUCAGGGGGAAGAGAAAAGAUGGGGAAGAGGGAGAAGAGAGAAGGGGAGGAAGGGGAAAUAGGAAGAGGAUGGGAAUGAGAGAGAAAGAAUGGGAGUGAGGUGGAGAGGGGAGGGAGAAGAAGGGAAGGGAGAUGAAGAGUGGAAGAUAGGAGAGAAAUGAAGUAUAUCAAGGCUUAUGUAUACAAAGGAUUAUGUAUAGCAAGGAUUAUGUAUUAUAUGAAGGUCUAUGUAUACUUAAGGUUGAUGUAUACUAUAAUUUAUGUGUACAAGUUUAUAUAUACAAAGGUUCAAGUGUACCAAAGUUUAUAUAUGUGAAGGUUUAUGUAUAUUAAUGUCUAUGUAUGCGGAGGUAUAAUUAUGUAUGCGAAGGUUGUGUACCAAGCUUUAUGUAUACCGAGGUUUAUGUAUAGAAAGGCUUAUGUAUUACACGAAGGUUUAUAUAUACGAAGAUUCCUGUAUAUCAAGGUUUAUGUAUACCGAGGUUCAUGUAUAGAAAGGCUUAUGUAUUACACGAAGGUUUAUAUAUACGAAGAUUCAUGUAUAUCAAGCUUUAUGUAUACCGAGGUUCAUGUAUAGAAAGGCUUAUGUAUUACACGAAGGUUUAUAUAUACGAAGAUUCCUGUAUAUCAAGGUUUAUGUAUACCGAAGUUCAUGUAUAGAAAGGCUUAUGUAUUACACGAAGGUUUAUAUAUACGAAGAUUCAUGUAUAUCAAGGUUUAUGUAUACCAAUGUUCAUGUCUACCAGGGUUCAUGUCUACCACGGUUCAUGUCUACCAGGGUUCAUGCAUUAUUAAUAUUAUCACACAUGUGGGCCAGGUGAUGUAGUUAUGACUCACCACACCUGCUCUCUUUACCUAGAUAACGCCUGGGUCUGGGUUUGUUGGCGGUAUACGAGACAAACUGGCGGAUAUAUAUAAAAGAAACAGAAAAAAAUGUCCGCUAUACAAACCGCUCCUGGAAAGAAAGAGAUCCCCCCCCCUUAAGGAGAUACCAAGCCUUCUCACUUUCCUUUCCCUUGUUUCCUCUUUUUCUAUCUUUCUUUACUGGCCUCUCUUAACACUUACAUCGCCUCUUCCUCACACACAGCUCUAAGUACUGUUCCUCUUCUUUCCAUCUUUUUCCUUUUUAUCUUUCCCUAAUUUCCUCUUUAUCUAUUUUUCUCUCUUUCCUGACCUCGCUUUAUUCUAGCAUCGCCUCUUCUUCAUAAACAGCUCUAAGUACUCUGUUCCUCUUCUUUCCAUCUUUUUCCUUUUUAUCUUUCCCUAAUUUCCUCUUUAUCUAUUUUUCUCUCUUUCCUGACCUCGCUUUAUUCUAGCAUCGCCUCUUCUUCACACACAGCUCUUAGUACUCUGUUUCCCUCCUUUUCAUCUUUCUCCCUUUUUAUCUUUCCCUAAUUUCCUCUUUAUCUAUUUUUCUCUCUUCCCUGACCUCACUUUAUUCCAGCAUCGCCAAUUCUACAUAAACAGCUCUUAGUACUCUGUUUCCCUCCUUUCCAUCUUUCUCCCUUUUUAUCUUUCCCUAAUUUCCUCUUUAUCUAUUUUUCUCUUUCCUGAGCCAACUUUACUCUAGCAUAUCCUCUUCUUAGUACUCUGCUCCCCUCCUUUCCAUCUUUUUUUCCCAUUUAUCUUUCCCUUACUUCCUUUUUCGUCAACUUUCCUCUCUAUCCUGACUUUUUUGGCGUUCAUUUCCUCUUCUUCCUCUUCUUUUUUCCAUCUCUCUUCCAUUUUGCCUUUUUUUUGCGUUCACUUCCUCUUCUUCCUCUUCCUUUUUUUUCAUCUUUUUUUUUCUCCCUUCCAUCUUUCCUUUUUUUGCGUUCACUUCCUCUUCUUCCUCUUCUUUUUUUCCAUCUCUCUUAUUUUCUUCCUUCCAUCUUUCCUUUUUUAGCGUUCACUUCCUCUUCUUCCUCUUCUUUUUUUUCAUCUCUUCUUUUCUCCCUUCCAUCUUUCCUUUUUUUGCGUUCACUUCCUCUUCUUCCUCUUCUUUUUUCCAUCUCUCUUCUUUUCUCCCUUCCAUCUUUCCUUUUUUAGCGUUCACUUCCUCUUCUUCCUCUUCUUUUUUCCAUCUCUCUUCUUUUCUUCCUUCCAUCUUUCCUUUUUUAGCGUUCACUUCCUCUUCUUCCUCUUCUUUUUUUUCAUCUCUUCUUUUCUCCCUUCCAUCUUUCCUUUUUUUGCGUUCAUUUCCUCUUCUUCCUCUUCUUUUUUUUCAUCUCUUCUUUUCUCCCUUCCAUCUUUCCUUUUUUUGCGUUCACUUCCUCUUCUUCCUCUUCUUUUUUCCCAUCUCUUCUUUUCUCCCUUCCAUCUUCCCUUACUUCCUUUUUUUCAACCUUCCUCUGUCUCCUGACCUAUCCUUUUUUUCUGGGGGGGGGAGGGGAUGGGGCGUCACCUCAUCUUCACAAAAAACUCUAACUAUACUGUCCCCUUUUUUACAUUGUUCUUUUCUUUAUUUUUUUCAUUAUCCUUCAUUCCUUCGACCUUCCUCUCUCUCUCUCAUGCUCUAACUUUAUUCCUGUUUUUGCUUCGUCUCUUCAUAAACAGCUCUUAACACACUCGUCUACCCCUUUCCACUCUUUUCUUCCUUUCUCCUACUCAUAUUUCCCUUUCCUUCCUUUCUUAAACCUCUUUACAAACUGAUAGGGUGCAAACAACAAACAAUAGCAAGCUCUCAGUACUGUUUAUAAGCUGGCAAACGGAUCGUAAUGGAAGUUGGAUCUGCUUAAAAUAUAAAUAUAGACUACGACAGAUUCAUGGACCAUCGCUUCAUACCUGUCCUGCUGUCAAUAAAUAUACAUGCUGCCAACCUGACUCUAGAUCACACCUGUUUUAUGUACCUGUGGGGAUAUUAAUAGAGGUAUACACGCAACUCACAUGCCAGAUUCUGUAAACGUCGAGUUAGUAUUCAUGAGGUUAUGUGGCUAGUUUGGCUAUUUAAUUCCACUUUUGAGAUGGAGGUGGUCGACGUAUUACAGCAAGUCGAUAUAUUACAGUACCGGUAAGUCGACAUAUUACAGUAAACCGACAUAUUACAAAGUCAGUCGUAGAAAGUAAUACAGAAAUCAACAAAACCAAUUACCCAUGCCUUGAAAAACGGGUGAAAAAAGACAGAUCAGCCACAUUAUUGUUAGCAAAGACUACUACGACGUUUGAUAAAUCAGGCGCCCGCCGUCGACAUAGUAAUACAGUUAGUAGACAUAUUACAAAUUCAGUCGUAAAAAGUAAUAUGGAAAAAUCAGCAAAACCAACUAUAAUGGUAACUACACCUUGAAAAACGGGUGAAAAGACGAAUCUGACACAUCUCUCUCCUCCCUCCCUCCAUCCCUUCCCUCCUUAUCUCCUUAUCCUUCCUUAUCUCUUUAGCUCUAGAUCACCAUACUUGUUUUCUGUACCUUCCCUGUCCUCUUUGUUCCUUUUCCAUAACUCUCUCCCGUCCCCCACUCUCCAAGCCUACUUACUCCCUCCCCUUCUUACAGGUCUACACGCAACACACAUUCUUUACCCCCAAAAUACACGCGUUAUCAUAAUUACAAUCUAGUCCAUCGUGGGAGAAGACAGGACGGCAGGCAGAUCCAUAAAUAGAGGCGAGAAAAAACGCGAUAUUAGUCGAGUCACCGCCACAUUCAAACCACUAACGGAAGCAGUGUUGCCAAAACGGAGUGUGACCCCCCCCUAUCCACCUAUCUAUCUUUCUCCUCCCUCCCUCCACCUCUUCCCUUCCCUCACAAUCACCACUCACUACAUCACUACACUCAUUCCACUACCACUACUACUACCUCCCAAGCACCGCUGUCUGUAUUUCUUCUACUUUAUCUCUAACUUCAUUUCCAUCACCACUCAACUCCACUUACACCAUCACCACCAACCCGCUUCCUUUCCACCACAAUCACCAACAUCUGGUAGCCAAAUUUAAAAGGAAGACAACCUCCAUCUCUCUCUCUCUCUCUCUCUCUCUCUCUCUCUCUGACGUUCUUCCUUUCAUUCCUUCAUCACCUCCCCCUCACACCACCACUCCACUUCCUUCUCUCCUUCCUUCCUUCCUCCUUAUCUCCUCCUCCUCUUCAGAAAACAACAAGUAAGUUAACGAGUGGAGAUAGUGAAUAAAAUAUGGAGGAGGAGGAGGUGGAAGAGGAAGAAAAGAGGAGGAGGAGGAGAAUAAAAAUGAGGAAGGGUAAAUAGAAAGGGUAAGAAGAAGAAAGAGGACACCUAGAUAAAAUAAAAAAGAUGGGAAAGACAAAUAGAAGAAGACAAGAAGAAGAAGAAGAAGAAGAAGAACACAGAUAAACAAAAAUGGAUGGGAAAGGCAAACAGAAGACGAAGAAGAAAAAGACGAAGAAAAAAAAGAAAA